rnacentral:rRNA from 1 species
CCUACGGGUGGCAGCAGUGAGGAAUAUUUGUCAAUGGACGAGAGUCUGAACCAGCCACGUAGCGUGAAGGAUGACUGCCCUAUGGGUUGUAAACUUCUUUUAUAUGGGAAUAAAUUGUUCCACGUGUGGGAUUUUGUAUGUACCAUAUGAAUACGGAUCGGCUAACUACGCUCCAGCAGCCGCGGUAAUACGGGGGAGCCGAGCGUUAUCCGGAUUUAUUGGGUUUAAAGGGAGCGUAGGAGGAUUGUUAAGUCAGUUGUGAACGUUUGCGGCUCAACCGUAAAAUUGCAGUUGAGACUGGCAGUCUGGAGUACAGGAGGGGUAGGCGGAAUUCGUGGUGUAGCGGUGAAAUGCUUAGAUAUCGCGAAGAACUCCGAUUGCGAAGGCAGCUCACUGGACUGCAACUGACACUGAGGCUCGAAAGUGUGGGUAUCAAACGGGAUUAGAUACCCUUGUAGUC